rnacentral:rRNA from 1 species
UACGUAGGGUGCGAGCGUUAAUCGUAAUUACUGGGCGUAAAGCGUGCGCAGGCGGUUCGUCGUGUCCGAUGUGAAAGCCCCGGGCUCAACCUGGGAAUGGCAUUGGAAACUGGCGGGCUUGAGUGUGGCAGAGGGGGGUGGAAUUCCGCGUGUAGCAGUGAAAUGCGUAGAGAUGUGGAGGAACACCGAUGGCGAAGGCAGCCUUCUGGGCCAACACUGACGCUCAUGCACGAAAGCGUGGGGAGCAAACAGG